UGGUAGGGAAGGCUCACACACGGCAGGAGC
rnacentral:piRNA from 2 species